UACGGGGGGGGCAAGCGUUGUUCGGAAUUACUGGGCGUAAAGGGCUUGUAGGUGGCCAACUAAGUCAGACGUGAAAUCCCUCGGCUUAACCGGGGAACUGCGUCUGAUACUGGAUGGCUUGAGUGUGGGAGAGGGAUGCGGAAUUCCAGGUGUAGCGGUGAAAUGCGUAGAUAUCUGGAGGAACACCGGUGGCGAAGGCGGCAUCCUGGACCGACACUGACACUGAGGAGCGAAAGCCAGGGGAGCAAACAGG
rnacentral:rRNA from 1 species